AUGAUUUCAGUUGUAACAGACUCCUCGACAUUAUUGGCUAGAUUUCUUUGCUGCCAUUUAUGUCAAAUGAAUCCCGAACCUUUCUUUAUUGUGCCUUUCUUUUAUCUAGACUCUGUGGAAGGGAACAAUGGUACCAAGAUCUCCCAGACCCCUGGAUCAUCUAACAGCACUCAGGCCAAUGUAACGAUUCCCUCCACCCCAUGUAAAUGCCCCAUCACUACUGCCUCGACCCCUCCAACCCAGCCUCAGCCUCAGCCUCCCCCACUCAGACUGGGGGUUCUUAAAGCAAAUUGGAAUGGAGCCUGCGAGGGGAACCUACAGAUGACUUAUUUUAACAUGAACUCAUCAACACCUUUGCCAAACGGCAUUUCUGAAAGCGUAAAACGUCUUGGAUGGUCGGGAUUGUGUAAGCGAAAGGGUUGUGGAGGCAAUCUGCAGUGGAAAGAGAUAAAAAUCUCCAAACGUCCCAACAGAGAUUCUGGAGAGGCGACCGAGCAACCCAUGGACAUCAUUGCCUUCCAGUGUACUGUGGUCCCAGAUCCUGAGCUGGUGGGUUACAAGGUGGUGGUUUCCAUCUUCUGUGUCCUGGUAUUGGUGGUGCUGAUACUUCGAUUUGGACGGCCCUCCCUUAAGGCCUUCCGUAAGAAAAGUAUGUUGUCAGAGUAGGAGGGUAACUCUUAAAUCGUAAUUUAUACUGGUAUAUGAACACCAACUAUAUCUGCACUGUUGAGCUGCUUUAUGGAUACUGGCGCUGAUGUUAACUUAACAUUUUAACUCGCAUUAAGAUUAGAAUCAAGAACUGCAGUGCGGUUAUAAUAAUACAUUCCAAAGCACUUGGAGCGAUCCAAAAAUAAUCCAAAAAGCACUUAAGCAAAUAAUGUGUCAGUUAUUGCAGAAAAGAAAAGCAUAUGGGUUUACCAGGGCACUUGUUUUGGGCGCGUGUGCCAUUUACACAGUUCAUUUGGUGUCCGUUGUGGCUCAAAAGUUUUUGUCUCUACAGUGCUGGGGUGCCAUGUUAUUGUGUUAUUUUGUGGCACUUGCAUCACAUUUAAACAUGAGCUCUAAUGGAAAUGUUACUGUCUGUGAUUCAGUGUCAGACAGGAGACAGAGUCGGUGGAUCGGGCCUACACAGAGUCAAAGUGGUGAGUCAAUAACUCAAAGACUGCUGUCGUUCCCACAAGGAUAACACUUCAUAUGAUAUCACAGAUAACACGUCAUAUGAUAUCACAGAUAACACGUCAUAUGAUAUCACAGAUAACACGUCAUAUGAUAUCACAGAUAACACAUCAUAUGAUAUCAGAGAUCACACUUCAUAUGAUAUCACAGAUAACACUUCAUAUGAUAUCACAGAUAACACUUCAUAUGAUAUCACAGAUAACACUUCGUAUGAUAUCACAGAUAAUGGUUUGUAUGAUAUCACACAUAAUGCUUUGUAUGAUAUCACAGAUAAUGCUUUGUAUGAUAUCAGAGAUAACACUUCGUAUGAUAUCACAGAUAAUGCUUUGUAUGAUGUCAGAGAUAACACUUUGUGUGAUUAUAACUGCCUCGACUUUGUCCUGCUGCAUGUCUCUGUGUCACAGUCUCCUACCAUAGGGGAAAGGCUGGAAUCCAACUUAACGACAAAACAGAUAAAAGAACGUCCUUCCCUGGUGAGUCACUAACACUCCACACACUACUCUGCAAAGACCACAGCCCUUGCCUAACACAACGAAUGUAUGGCUUUUAUAGACUGAUUUCUAUAAAAUAGGACAAUUAAUUAAAAUCAUGAAGUUGUUCACUUUAAAUGAGAAUUAGGUAUGUUUGAAAGUGUUUGAAUUGCCCGGGCAGACGACUGAUUGGCUCAUCUUUCCAGGAGGAUGACAUCAUCCUGUAUAAGGAAAUAGACAAUCUACUUCAGAUUCGAGUUUCACUGCUCAGUUACUUUAAAGCCAACUUUUAGUGACACUGACCUAUAAGUUAGAAUUGGACCCUAAAGCAGCACAUUCUUUUUCGUUCUCCCAGGAUUGGAGAGACUGACGGUGAACAACAGCCGAGAACCUUCGUCUAACAGGAACAGUGACUAUGACUCGUAUAACUUAUAGUCAUCGUCAUCAAUGCCAUAUUUUACAUUCACACUAUGAACCACUGUACAUGUGUUCGUUAUAUUUUGUUAUAUAUUUUUUACCAAAAAUGUUCAAUUUUGUAUACCUAAUAAUAAUGUUUCGUACUUGUAUGUUUCUCAAUGUUAUUCAAGCGUUUGCUUUUAUUGUGUAACUUUAACCAUGCGGUUGAAUAAAAGAUUUGGACAGAUUGUACUGCUGUGUGAAGAAAAGGUUCAGGGAUGGUAAAGAACUGCAAGAUAAAAGAGAUUGAGUGAAAGGGGGAUAAAGAAGGAGUGAUAAACUGGAUUAUGUAGAGAUGAGGGAAGUGGUGAGUAAGUGGUCACGCGUGCACACACACACACACACGCUUGCACACACACAUGUUUCUGCAGAGAUACAGCUUCCUGUGCCGUUGACACCAGCAUCCUGUUUGUGUUAUUUCUGGCACUCGUUCAUUCACUCAGACUCUUGCUCUAAAUAAAUGUUUACCUAUAUCUUUACCUUUCUUACCUUUUUUUUUACUUCUCAUCCCGGAACGACCUCCAUCAUUCUUUUGUCUUCCUUACUUCCUCCAUCAGUCGCGUUCUUUAGAACCUGUUCUUUUCCUCCAUCUUCUUUUCCACUGAGACACUUUUCAGUUGUGUUUUCUACGUUUCGGCAUUGGCGGAGAUUGUUACUCUUCGGAUUUCUUUCGGCAACUGUUUGUGAGUCAGUGGAAGAAAGAGAGUGAGGCAUUUUACAUUAAAUGUAAAAUAUAAAAAUGUAAGUCAUUUAGCAGCCCUCUGCCAAAGUACAUAAGAAUGCCUUUGGAAACUAUUCAGACCCCUUCUCUUUCUCCACAUUUUGAUACCCCAUGGCAUGAUGCUCCCACCACCAUGCUUUACUAUUGGAUGAUAUUACCCAGAC
ensembl:lncRNA